AGGACGAACGCUGGCGGCGUGCCUAAUACAUGCAAGUCGAACGGUCUUUCUAUGGAAGCUUGCUUCCGCUGAGAAGAUAGUGGCGAACGGGUGAGUAACACGUGGGUAACCUGCCCAUAAGAGGGGGGAUAACAUCCGGAAACGGGUGCUAAUACCGCAUAGUUUUCUUGAUCGCAUGAUCGGGAAAGAAAAGACGGCCUUUGUGCUGUCGCUUAUGGAUGGACCCGCGGCGUAUUAGUUAGUUGGUGAGGUAACGGCUCACCAAGACGAUGAUACGUAGCCGACCUGAGAGGGUGAUCGGCCACAUUGGGACUGAGACACGGCUCAAACUCCUACGGGAGGCAGCAGUAGGGAAUUUUCCGCAAUGGACGAAAGUCUGACGGAGCAACGCCGCGUGAGUGAAGAAAAGGUUUUCGGAUCGUAAAACUCUGUUGUCAGAGAAGAACAAGUUGGAGAGUAACUGCUCCAGCCUUGACGGUAUCUGACCAGAAAGCCACGGCUAACUACGUGCCAGCCGCAGC
rnacentral:rRNA from 1 species